rnacentral:rRNA from 1 species
UAGCCUCUGGCUAUAGGAAAUUGUUAGUGGCAGACGGGUGAGUAAUGCGUAGGAAUCUACCUAGUAGUACGGAAUAGCCAUUAGAAAUGGUGGGUAAUACUGUAUAAUCCCCGAGGGGGAAAGAUUUAUCGCUAUUAGAUGAGCCUACGUUAGAUUAGCUAGUUGGUGAGGUAAUGGCUUACCAAGGCUAUGAUCUAUAGCUGGUCUGAGAGGACGAUCAGCCACACUGGAACUGAGAUACGGUCCAGACUCCUACGGGAGGCAGCAGUGGGGAAUAUUGGACAAUGGGCGAAAGCCUGAUCCAGCUAUGCCGCGUGAGUGAAGAAGGCCUUCGGGUUGUAAAACUCUUUCAAUAGGGAAGAUAAUGACGGUACCUAUA